UUACUGCUUCAGUGAUUUCCUUGCGAACUGCUAUUCCUUCAGCUAUGACAAGUGAUUGCCAUGAUCUGCACCCGCUCGGACGCACCCCUGGAAGUGUCUUUCUGGGGAGAUAGGUUACCUUGACCUGAGAAUUUACCCUGACCGGAAUUGUGGUUAUUGCAGGCGAAUUUGGGGCUGAGGAAAGAAGACGAGGAGCAACUUCUCUCUGGUCUGGUGGUUGGAACUUCAGGACAAGGUGAAGGUUUUCAAAUGUUGAAGGAGCAGGACAAUAGGAACUUCUGUGAUGUCUUGUCAUCUAUUUUCUUUUCUUUUCUGUAGAAUAGUUUUGUUUGGCACUUACUGGUACCUUGGAUGUAAAGAUAUGUACUGCUAGAACGAAUGCAUGUAAAGAUAUUUUGGGCUCCUAUAACAUUUCAUGUUGCUUUGAAAAUGUAUCGGAACUGGGCUAGGCCCAAGAUAGCUUGUAGUGUGAUGUGUUGUAAUGUCAAUGGCAUAAUAAAAAAAGUUGGACUGGAUCAA